UAGAAGUUAGAGGAAACAGCCCUUCUCUUC
rnacentral:piRNA from 1 species